rnacentral:rRNA from 1 species
AACGAACGCUGGCGGCAUGCCUAACACAUGCAAGUCGAACGAGACCUUCGGGUCUAGUGGCGCACGGGUGCGUAACGCGUGGGAACCUGCCCUUAGGUUCGGCAUAACUCCCCGAAAGGGGUGCUAAUACCGGAUAAUGUCUUCGGACCAAAGAUUUAUCGCCUUUGGAUGGGCCCGCGUUGGAUUAGCUAGUUGGUAGGGUAAAAGCCUACCAAGGCGACGAUCCAUAGCUGGUCUGAGAGGAUGAGCAGCCACACUGGGACUGAGACACGGCCCAGACUCCUACGGGAGGCAGCAGUGGGGAAUAUUGGACAAUGGGCGAAAGCCUGAUCCAGCAAUGCCGCGUGAGUGAUGAAGGCCUUAGGGUUGUAAAGCUCUUUUACCCGGGAUGAUAAUGACAGUACCGGGAGAAUAAGCUCCGGCUAACUCCGUG